rnacentral:rRNA from 1 species
GGGUGAGUAACACGUGAGUAACCUGCCCUUGACUCUGGGAUAAGCCUGGGAAACUGGGUCUAAUACCGGAUAUGACUGAUCAUCGCAUGGUGGUUGGUGGAAAGCUUUUGCGGUUUUGGAUGGACUCGCGGCCUAUCAGCUUGUUGGUGGGGUAAUGGCCUACCAAGGCGACGACGGGUAGCCGGCCUGAGAGGGUGACCGGCCACACUGGGACUGAGACACGGCCCAGACUCCUACGGGAGGCAGCAGUGGGGAAUAUUGCACAAUGGGCGAAAGCCUGAUGCAGCGACGCCGCGUGAGGGAUGACGGCCUUCGGGUUGUAAACCUCUUUCAGUAGGGAAGAAGCCGCAAGGUGACGGUACCUGCAGAAGAAGCGCCGGCUAACUACGUGCCAGCAGCCGCGGUAAUACGUAGGGCGCAAGCGUUAUCCGGAAUUAUUGGGCGUAAAGAGCUCGUAGGCGGUUUGUCGCGUCUGCCGUGAAAGUCCGGGGCUCAACUCCGGAUCUGCGGUGGGUACGGGCAGACUAGAGUGAUGUAGGGGAGACUGGAAUUCCUGGUGUAGCGGUGAAAUGCGCAGAUAUCAGGAGGAACACCGAUGGCGAAGGCAGGUCUCUGGGCAUUAACUGACGCUGAGGAGCGAAAGCAUGGGGAGCGAACAGGAUUAGAUACCCUGGUAGUCCAUGCCGUAAACGUUGGGCACUAGGUGUGGGGGACAUUCCACGUUUUCCGCGCCGUAGCUAACGCAUUAAGUGCCCCGCCUGGGGAGUACGGCCGCAAGGCUAAAACUCAAAGGAAUUGACGGGGGCCCGCACAAGCGGCGGAGCAUGCGGAUUAAUUCGAUGCAACGCGAAGAACCUUACCAAGGCUUGACAUGAACCGGAAACGCCUGGAAACAGGUGCCCCACUUGUGGUCGGUUUACAGGUGGUGCAUGGUUGUCGUCAGCUCGUGUCGUGAGAUGUUGGGUUAAGUCCCGCAACGAGCGCAACCCUCGUUCUAUGUUGCCAGCACGUGAUGGUGGGGACUCAUAGGAGACUGCCGGGGUCAACUCGGAGGAAGGUGGGGACGACGUCAAAUCAUCAUGCCCCUUAUGUCUUGGGCUUCACGCAUGCUACAAUGGCCGGUACAAAGGGUUGCGAUACUGUGAGGUGGAGCUAAUCCCAAAAAGCCGGUCUCAGUUCGGAUUGGGGUCUGCAACUCGACCCCAUGAAGUCGGAGUCGCUAGUAAUCGCAGAUCAGCAACGCUGCGGUGAAUACGUUCCCGGGCCUUGUACACACCGCCCGUCAAGUCACGAAAGUUGGUAACACCCG